AUUGAACGCUGGCGGCAGGCCUAACACAUGCAAGUCGAGCGGAUGAAGGGAGCUUGCUCCUGGAUUCAGCGGCGGACGGGUGAGUAAUGCCUAGGAAUCUGCCUGGUAGUGGGGGAUAACGUCCGGAAACGGGCGCUAAUGCCGCAUACGUCCUGAGGGAGAAAGUGGGGGAUCUUCGGACCUCACGCUAUCAGAUGAGCCUAGGUCGGAUUAGCUAGUUGGUGGGGUAAAGGCCUACCAAGGCGACGAUCCGUAACUGGUCUGAGAGGAUGAUCAGUCACACUGGAACUGAGACACGGUCCAGACUCCUACGGGAGGCAGCAGUGGGGAAUAUUGGACAAUGGGCGAAAGCCUGAUCCAGCCAUGCCGCGUGUGUGAAGAAGGUCUUCGGAUUGUAAAGCACUUUAAGUUGGGAGGAAGGGCAGUAAGUUAAUACCCUGCUGUUUUGACGUUACCAACAGAAUAAGCACCGGCUAACUUCGUG
rnacentral:rRNA from 1 species